rnacentral:rRNA from 1 species
GACGAACGCUGGCGGCGUGCUUAACACAUGCAAGUCGAACGGAAAGGCCCCUUUGGGGGUACUCGAGUGGCGAACGGGUGAGUAACACGUGAGUAACCUGCCCUUGACUUCGGGAUAACUUCAGGAAACUGGGGCUAAUACCGGAUAGGAAUCCUUGCUGCAUGGUGGGGGUUGGAAAGCUUCGGCGGUUUGGGAUGGACUCGCGGCUUAUCAGCUUGUUGGUGGGGUAGUGGCUUACCAAGGCUUUGACGGGUAGCCGGCCUGAGAGGGUGACCGGCCACAUUGGGACUGAGAUACGGCCCAGACUCCUACGGGAGGCAGCAGUGGGGAAUAUUGCACAAUGGGCGGAAGCCUGAUGCAGCAACGCCGCGUGCGGGAUGACGGCCUUCGGGUUGUAAACCGCUUUCAGCAGGGGCGAAGCUUUUGUGACGGUACCUGCAGAAGAAGCACCGGCUAACUACGUG